rnacentral:rRNA from 1 species
GAUGAACGCUGGCGGCGUGCCUAAUACAUGCAAGUCGAGCGAAUGGAUUGAGAGCUUGCUCUUAUGAAGUUAGCGGCGGACGGGUGAGUAACACGUAGGUAACCUGCCCAUAAGACUGGGAUAACUCCGGGAAACCGGGGCUAAUACCGGAUAACAUUUUGAACCGCAUGGUUCGAAAUUGAAAGGCGGCUUCGGCUGUCACUUAUGGAUGGACCCGCGUCGCAUUAGCUAGUUGGUGAGGUAACGGCUCACCAAGGCAACGAUGCGUAGCCGACCUGAGAGGGUGAUCGGCCACACUGGGACUGAAACACGGCCCAGACUCCUACGGGAGGCAGCAGUAGGGAAUCUUCCGCAAUGGACGAAAGUCUGACGGAGCAACGCCGCGUGAGUGAUGAAGGCUUUCGGGUCGUAAAACUCUGUUGUUAGGGAAGAACAAGUGCUAGUUGAAUAAGCUGGCACCUUGACGGUACCUAACCAGAAAGCCACGGCUAACUACGUGCCAGCCGCCGCCGUAA